AUGGAGCUCAACGUUCAGCUUCGUUCCUCUGAUGGUGACCCUCUUCCUAAUCCCACUCGCUAUUGUCACCUUGUUGGCAGUCUUGUCUAUCUUGCUGUUACGCGUUCUGACAUCUCCUAUCAUGUCCACAUCCUGAGUCAGUUUGUUUCAGCCCCCACCUCUGUCCACUAUAGUCAUCUCCUCCGUGUUCUACGAUAUCUUCGUGGCACGAUCUCUCGGCGUCUUUUCUUUCCCCGCUGCAGCUCUCUUGAGCUCCAGGCCUACUCUGAUGCUACCUGGGCUAGUGAUCCCUCUGAUCGACGAUCGUUGUCUGCUUAUUGUGUCUUUCUUGGUGGCUCUCUUAUUGCCUGGAAGACCAAAAAAACAGACUGCAGUUUCUCGCUCGAGUACAGAGGCUGA
rnacentral:rRNA from 1 species